rnacentral:rRNA from 1 species
GAUGAACGCUGGCGGCGUGCCUAAUACAUGCAAGUCGAGCGAACGGACGAGAAGCUUGCUUUUCUGAUGUUAGCGGCGGACGGGUGAGUAACACGUGGAUAACCUACCUAUAAGACUGGGAUAACUUCGGGAAACCGGAGCUAAUACCGGAUAAUAUUUUGAACCGCAUGGUUCAAAAGUGAAAGACGGUCUUGCUGUCACUUAUAGAUGGAUCCGCGCUGCAUUAGCUAGUUGGUAAGGUAACGGCUUACCAAGGCAACGAUGCAUAGCCGACCUGAGAGGGUGAUCGGCCACACGGGAGCUGAGACACGGUCAAGACUACUACGGGAGGCAGCAGUCGGGAAUCGUCCGCAAUGGGCGAAAGCCUGACGGAGCAACGCCGCGUGAGUUAUGAAGGUCUUCGGAUCGUAAAACUCUGUUAUUAGGGAAGAACAUAUGUGUAAGUAACUGUGCACAUCUUGACGGUACCUAAUCAGAAAGCCACGGCUAACUACGUG